rnacentral:lncRNA from 1 species
CUGCCACCCUUGGGUGACAAGAGGCUCUGACCCUUGGAAUUCUAUAAAUAGAAUGAUGGUUUUGCAUGGCAGCCAUUUAAAUAGUUGAACCCAGCAACUGUAUCUGCUUUUCGCUCCCUGGAGGCCAACGUCUCCGGUUUCUACAAAUGUGUCCAUGUGGCAUGGUGCUCAAGACCUCCUUGGCCCUCUGUGGGUUCCUAGAACUGAACAGAGUUUCGCUGUUGUUGCCCAGGCUGGAGUGCAAUGGCAUGAUCUCAGCUCGCUGCAACCUCCACCUCCCGGGUCCAAGCUAUUCUCCUACCUCAGCCUCCCAAGUAGCUGAGAUUACAGGUAUGUGCCACCACAUCUGGCUAGUUUUCUGUAUUUUUUGGUAGAGACAGGGUUUCUCCAUUUUGGUCAGGCUGGCCUCGAACUCUCGACCUCAGGUGAUCCGCUUGCCUCUACCUCCCAAAGUGCUGGGAUUACAGGCAUGAGCCAUCGCACCCGGCCCCCAAAUGGCCUCUUGAGGACCUUUGAGAUUUGCUCCUGACUAAGGGGGGAGGUUUUCCUGGAAAUUGUAAUCUCUGAUCAUUGAAACUACAAGUUAUCAAGUAUCUGCCUCCACCAACCCUUCUGCCAGGCCCUUCACAUACAUUAUCAAUAUGGUGAGUUUUUAGUACAAUCAUUAUACUAAAAAAAUAUGCAUAGGAGGGACAUACACUGAAAAAAUGAUUUGUUUAAAUUUGAACUUAACAAUUUAACCAGAUGUCGUGUCUAUUUAUUUGUUAAGUCUGGUAACCUUACCGCGAUGCAGUACAGAGUGCUAGCCUCACUGGGUUUUGUUAGGUGCUUCCUAGCAGAAAAAGACUAGCUCUUUGCUGCGAUGAUGCCUUCUCCUCAGGGUGCGGCUGGUCCGUUUGCGAGGGAGGUGGGACCAUUCGACUCCCGGCUCAUCUCAUGCCUGGCACCAGGCAGGUCGCGCCAGUGCUCUGGGGCCCUUCACCUCCCCAAGUGCGUCUGACUUGCUCGGCCUCUCAGGGGAUGAGAGGGGCUUUGUCAGAGCCGUGCCUCAUUUGCCACUUCAGAGCUUUAUGUCUGUUGACAUUGCAAAAUAGCAGAAGAAUUCGACAACAGGCCUUUUCAGAAUGUGCAUCACGACUGGACAAAGGGCAGUCCUAAGUGGGUCAGCGGCUGCCCUGGAGAGUUUUCCGGGUGAGGAAUCACAUCUGUUUACUCAGCCUUCACAUGACCUCCAUUCUGCCCACCUCCGCCACCCACUCUGCCGACUCGAAGAGACAAAGGCACCGGGUGUGUCCCUCUCUCAUUGUGUUGGCGCGCAGCUCCGGUCCCUGCGCUGAAGGGCGCUGUGUGGGAGGCUCCCUGCAUGGCCUCUGACACUUUCCAGUUCAGUGGCAUUUAGUACCAAGUUAACGCAUCAGUUGUCGGGGAGGUCCAGAGAGCCUCCGCCUUGUGUGUUGUGGACGCUCACCGGAGGCUGGAAUGCAAAGCGGGUAGAGCCUUCAGGCAGCUUCUCAAGGCCCUCCUGCCCCUGUCUGCGGGGAGUGGCCAUGUUCUGCGCUAAGCAGGCCUCUGCGUUACACUGUCAGCUUGCGAGGGCCUGGCAGGGGACAGGACAUCUGCAAAGGGUGUACAGUGCAGGCAUGGCCCCUCGCUGUGCUGUGGAGGCAGGAUGGGCAGGCCACUGCAGGGUUGGUGUGGGGCCAGGGACAGUUCACAACCAACGAUCAACGGUCCCUGUUGGAGGAAGCUCCUGAAGGCUGGCACUGUGCCAGCCCAAUGUUUGGGUCGCAGUAUCUUCCCCUAAUGAAUUUGUCCAAAAGAGAGUGGUCCAGGAGGUUGAGAUGCUCCACAAAUUUUCAUAUUAGUGACGUGGGCAGCAUUCCAUCAUAGGAUCAUAGGACAAAGCUGUUGCUCUUGGACGAGCAACGCUUUUUUUUUUUUUACUUCAAAUUAUUUAUAGUUAAUGAUCCCUUGCAAUAAAGACAUAAAUAAGCAAUUUAUGUCAGAAAGAAAAACGUCCAGUAACAUAAGGCUAACCUUACUUGAAAUCAAAUAAAUUCAUAUUAAAAUAAAAGAUUUAGUUUAUUAAAUAUUACUAAAAGAUCACGCUACUCAGAACUGAGAACCACGUGGAGAAAAGAGCCAUAUCCUAUAUUGCUGUUGGGAAAAUGUUUGGAAUAACCAUUUAAAAGCACAAUUUGGUAGUCCAUCCCCAAAACCUUAAAUAUGCUUGUAUUCUUUGACCCAGCAGUUCCACUUCCAGAAAUUACUCCAGGGAAAUAAAUAUGGAUAUGAACAAAGUUUUAGAUACAAAGAAGUUCAUAGCAAUAAAAAGGUUGGAAAUUCCAAAGGUCAAUAAAUUAUUGUAUAUCCAUGUAAGGGAAUAUUUAAAUAACAAUGCAGAUGUACAAAAGCAAC